GACGAACCGUGCGAACGUUGUUCGGAAUCACUGGGCUUAAAGGGCGCGUAGGCGGGCUCGCCAGUCAGGGGUGAAAGCCUCCAGCUUAACUGGAGAAGUGCCUUUGAUACUGCGAGUCUCGAGGGAGGUAGGGGCGUGCGGAACUUCCGGUGGAGCGGUGAAAUGCGUAGAUAUCGGAAGGAACAUCGGUGGCGAAAGCGGCGCGCUGGACCUCUUCUGACGCUGAGGCGCGAAAGCCAGGGGAGCGAACGGG
rnacentral:rRNA from 1 species